UACGUAGGAUGCAAGCGUUGUCCGGAAUUAUUGGGCGUAAAGAGCGCGCAGGCGGUAUGACAAGUCAGAUGUGAAAGAGGCCGGCUUAACCGGCAAGGGUCAUUUGAAACUGUCAGACUAGAGUGCAGCAGAGGAUAGUGGAAUUCCCGGUGUAGUGGUGAAAUGCGUAGAUAUCGGGAGGAACACCAGUGGCGAAGGCGACUAUCUGGGCUGCAACUGACGCUGAGGUGCGAAAGCGUGGGGAGCAAACAGG
rnacentral:rRNA from 1 species